rnacentral:rRNA from 1 species
UACCCUGGUAGUCCACGCUGUAAACGAUGUCGAUUUAGAGGUUGUGGUCUUGAACCGUGGCUUNUGGAGCUAACGCGUUAAAUCGACCGCCUGGGGAGUACGGCCGCAAGGUUAAAACUCAAAUGAAUUGACGGGGGCCCGCACAAGCGGUGGAGCAUGUGGUUUAAUUCGAUGCAACGCGAAGAACCUUACCUACUCUUGACAUCCAGCGAAUCCUUUAGAGAUAGAGGAGUGCCUUCGGGAACGCUGAGACAGGUGCUGCAUGGCUGUCGUCAGCUCGUGUUGUGAAAUGUUGGGUUAAGUCCCGCAACGAGCGCAACCCUUAUCCUUUGUUGCCAGCACGUGAUGGUGGGAACUCAAAGGAGACUGCCGGUGAUAAACCGGAGGAAGGUGGGGAUGACGUCAAGUCAUCAUGGCCCUUACGAGUAGGGCUACACACGUGCUACAAUGGCAGAUACAAAGAGAAGCGACCUCGCGAGAGCAAGCGGAACUCAUAAAGUCUGUCGUAGUCCGGAUUGGAGUCUGCAACUCGACUCCAUGAAGUCGGAAUCGCUAGUAAUCGUAGAUCAGAAUGCUACGGUGAAUACGUUCCCGGGCCUUGUACACACCGCCCGUCACACCAUGGGAGUGGGUUGCAAAAGAAGUAGGUAGCUUAACCUUCGGGAGGGCGCUUACCACUUUGUGAUUCAUGACUGGGGUGAAGUCGUAACAAGGUAACCAAGGGCGAAUUCGCGGCC